GCCUCGUUGGCGUAGUGGUAGCGCGUUCCACUUGUAAUGGAAAGGUCACUCGUUCAAUCCGGGUACGAGGCA